rnacentral:tRNA from 1 species
AGAAAGUGGCAGAGCGGUUAUGUGGUCGGCUUGAAACCGACCUAUGGGGGUUCGACUCCUCCCUUUCUCU